CUAAUGACGGUACCUGAAGAAUAAGCACCGGCUAACUACGUGCCAGCAGCCGCGGUAAUACGGAGGGUGCAAGCGUUAAUCGGAAUUACUGGGCGUAAAGCGUGCGCAGGCGGUUUUGUAAGUCUGUCGUGAAAUCCCCGGGCUCAACCUGGGAAUUGCGAUGGAGACUGCAAGGCUAGAAUCUGGCAGAGGGGGGUAGAAUUCCACGUGUAGCAGUGAAAUGCGUAGAGAUGUGGAGGAACACCGAUGGCGAAGGCAGCCCCCUGGGUCAAGAUUGACGCUCA
rnacentral:rRNA from 1 species